AAUACUAAUAAUACAGUAACAGUUAUUAUUAAAUUAAUAUUUUACAUUUUUUCAUUGAUUUCGUAUUUUUUGAAUGCUAUUAAUUGCACUUUCGAUGUAGUGACUUUAUACGUUCAAAUGUACUCCCUAUUUUUAGUUCUGGCGAUAAAAGUAUUAUGUUCAACCUAAGCUAUAAAUAUCUAUUGCGAUUCUUCACGAUCUAAAAAAUUAAAAUAAUUCACUAUAAUAUUUUAGAAUAAAUUUUAUUUAUAUUAUUCUCUAUUUAGAGUUUUAUCUUUCUAAUAAUUUGUUUCAAGCGCAAUACCUUCCACUAUUGGAAAUCUAUCAAACCUGCAAGAAAUAAGCCUCGCUUACAACAACUUAAAUGGUCCAAUACCAUCCACUAUUGGGAAUCUAAGCCAAUUUAGAAGAUCUUAAUCUCUUAUCCAACGAAUUAAAUGGUACAAUACCAUCUAGCAUUGGAAAUCUACAAUAUGUGUUUCGUCUACGCCUCACAUUCAACAAACUAAAUGGUCUAAUACCUUCCAGCAUUGGAAAUCUAUCAGAAAUGUCUUCGAACAAUUUGGUUGGAGUAAUUCCAAAUGAAAUGACAAGGUUGGCAUUUCUUUCGAAAUUAAACCUUUCAACGAAUCAUCUGGUGGGACGCAUACCACAAUCUAACCAGUUUUCCACAUUUGAGAAUGAUUCAUAUGUGGGAAACUUGGGGUUACGUGGAGUUCCGUUGAUGAAGAAAUGCGGAGAGGAGACUAAGCCAAAAC